UCACAUUUCUAUCUCCCAAUUCCAAAUUAGGGAUUCUCCAAAAUCGAUCAAGUACAGCGGCGGUUCCUCCUCCGCCUCGCCACGUCGCCAACUCCGGCGAGAAUCAGUCACCGCCGUCCACGCCCUCCUUCGGCGUCUCUCUCUCUCCGCUAUUUAUCUCAUUUUCCCCCAAAUUGAAAAGAACCCUACUGUUACAGAAGAAGGUCUCGCCUUCAUCUUCUCCGUUGAGCCUCCCGCCGAGCUCUCUCCAGAAACCCUGCUGCCUGAGUUAUCUACGGAUCCUCCGACGAGUUCUCCGUCGCCGGCCACGCCGCUCGCCGCUGCCGUUCGCCGCUCACUCCCUCCGUCGAAAGCCGGAGGAGCUGCUGCUGUCGCCGCCGCCGCUCCUCGUGCUACUGGAGCAGUUUCCUGGCGCCACUCCAGCCUCUGCCUCAGCCUCCUCGCCGAACUCCCAGGAGGUCGUGAAAUUAGUGACGAAUCGGGGUGUGGGGCUGCCACGACGGUGUGCCGAAACUCAGUAUCCGGAAUUCCGACAGAUUCUUAUUCUUGAGAUAAGUGGUUAACUUGUGUUUACUAUAGGUGUAGAACUUGGCUUCUCUAUUUUAUGAAUUCGAUGAAUUCAAACAAUUGUCUUGCUACUAAAAACUUGAUGGUGAAAUCAGGUUGGACUUAUGUGUGUUGUUAAAUUCACUUAAUGCAUGCUUUUACAUAUGAAAGAAAGGCUUGGUGUUUACCUUUUUGGUGGUGAAAAGGGUUGUUGGUUCGUAGUGCUUGACUCUACAAGUGUGUGCAAAUCUUCCUCCUCGGACUCCUCUAUCCGAUGUGGGGUUGGUGUGGGCAGAGGAAAUAGUAUGUGGGGUCGGUGUGGGUGAGUGAAAAUGAUUUGUGAUCUCUACGUAUAUGUGAUGUGGGGGUGAAGAAGAUGAUUGGGAUAUCUAUAUACAUAUACAAAUAAUGGAGGAUGUCAAUGAAACUUAUCCUUCAAGAAAAAAAAAAUUUGUGUAAGAGGAUAAGAUAUGAUUGCCUGCUAAACAUUUAAUGCAAUAAUAAAUGCUUUGUCGGAAAAAAUUGAUCCUUAGGAUCUGCCCUAUCCGUUCUUUUAUUUUGUUUAUUUUAUUUGGUUAUUAAAUUAAUUAUUUGAGUAUUUGUUCACUUGUUCGUUUAAUUUGGUGUAGGUAUAAUCGGUUCAAGUUCGUGGCCGUCCGCGUUAAAGUACCCGAUUUUCUUUAGAACGAAAGAUGUAUUAAAUUAAAUUUUCAUUGGACUUUUGUUGGAUGUAUCGGACAUUAAAAUUUUGAUUUUUGGAUCUUAUUUAUUUAUUUA